AUCCAUUAUAGCAGAGUUUAUAAGAUUAAAUUAAAUGCUUGCAAAUAUCAUUAAUAGGUUAACAUACCCUUCUGAACAUGUCAUCAUGUCAGCCUCUCUGUCAUUUUAAGAUGGAGCAGCGUCGGUCUCCAAGUCUCUCCUCUGUGCCUUAACAUUUAAAAGUACACCUAUUUAUGCCUUAGGUGUCUCCAUUUUAGGGUUACCCUAGUUCAUAUAUGAAAAAGUAACACUUCUUUUACUUUAUUCAUUUUAGGACCUCCCUUAACUUGGCAAACAUACAAGGCCAUAACUAAAGGGUGUAUACGUCAUGGAAAUUUCCCUGACUUAGUUCAAGAUGGCAUCUUAAAGUCUGAAUAGGUUAUCUGUUGUUUAUACUAAGUCGUAAGUGUACAGUCGUGGGAGAUUCACAGAUUUGGGGAAGUUCCAUUAACUUGGGGUUACCACAGUAUAUUGUGUACUGAAAGAGUCGUAGUAUAGCCUUGAAGCUUGUUUAUGCAUUAUUGUAAUUGUAAUUCGUCUGGGACAAAAUGGCGCAAACAUAUUAUGCACUGGGGUUAUUGCUUAAAGAAACAGUUACGAAAAACAAUAUGUUCCAUUUCCAACACCUUGUCAAUUUGCAAUCUCUCUUAAAGACAAAGUACACAGUUUAAGAAAUACAACAUUUCAUUCUUAAACUUGUAAUAUUUGCAUUUGCCCAUAACAGCAUAAUGGCUAAAACACAACCCUAUUUAAAAAAUAAAAUAAACAGAGUACAAGAAAAAAAGAGAAAAAAAAAAAAAGGUAAUUGAUUGGUGUCAACUCCUCGGCAUAGAGGGGUUACAGAAAAGGAAUUAAGCCCAUUACGUGAGGUUCCAUGCUUGAGCAUCUACAGGACUAUAUCAAAGUGCCCUCAGGGAUCUUGAACCAGGCACGUUUGGCAAAUUAAAAAAAAAAUAA